CCAGAAAGAAGAGAUUUCAACUCCCACCCCUAACUCCCAAGGCCAGA
rnacentral:tRNA from 1 species